rnacentral:rRNA from 1 species
UACGUAGGGUGCAAGCGUUGUCCGGAAUUAUUGGGCGUAAAGAGCUUGUAGGCGGUUUGUCGCGUCUGCUGUGAAAUUUCGGGGCUCAACCCCGAACUUGCAGUGGGUACGGGCAGACUAGAGUGUGGUAGGGGAGAACGGAAUUCCUGGUGUAGCGGUGAAAUGCGCAGAUAUCAGGAGGAACACCGGUGGCGAAGGCGGUCAU